GAAGGGUGGUGUUUAUUAGAAUUUUCAAACCAAUGAUGAAGGUUACUUCAUGUUUGAUGACUCAUGAUAAAUUUACGAAUCGCAAGACUUUAUGCUGGCGAUGUAUCAAUUAAAUUUCUGCACUAUUAACUUUUGAUGCAAGUGUAUUGUACUUACAUGGUUUUGAUGGUUAACGGAGGAUUAGGGUUUGAUUCCGGAGAGGGAGCCUGAGAAAUGGCUACCACAUCCAAGGAAGGCAGCAGGCGCGCAAAUUACCCAAUCUCAAUACGAGGAGGUAGUGACAAUAAAUAACAGUGCAGGGCUUUUUAAGUCUUGCAAUUGGAAUGAGUACAAUUUAAAACCCUUAACGAGAAACAAUUGGAGGGCAAGUCUGGUGCCAGCAGCCGCGGUAAUUCCAGCUCCAAUAGCGUAUAUUUAUGUGGUUGCAGUUGAAAAGCUCGUAGUUGGAUUUGAGGUUUAGGGAUAUGGUCUCAUCUUCGGAUGUUGUACUGUAUUUCUUUAUCUUUUACAUGAGAAGGUAUUCUGUUCUUUAUUGGAUGGUUUAUUGACUCAUGUCUUUUACUUUGAAAAAAUUAGAGUGUUCAAAGCAGGCUUAUGCCUUGAGUACAUUAGCAUGGAAUAAUAAGAUAGGACUUUUGUCUAUUUUGUUGGUUUUUAUGGACUGAAGUAAUGAUUAAUAGGGGCAGUUGGGGACAUUAAUAUUUAAUUGUCAGAGGUGAAAUUCUUGGAUUUAUUAAAGAUUAACUACUGCGAAAGCAUUUGUCAAGGAUGUUUUCAUUAAUCAAGAACGAAAGUUGGGGGAUCGAAGACGAUCAGAUACCGUCGUAGUCUCAACCAUAAACUAUGCCGACGAGAAAUUAGUGAAUGUUUAUUCAUUGACUUCAUUAGCUUCUUCCGAGAAAUCAAAGUUUUUGGGUUCUGGGGGGAGUAUGGUCGCAAGGCUGAAACUUAAAGGAAUUGACGGAAGGGCACCACCAGGAGUGGAGCCUGCGGCUUAAUUUGACCCAACACGGGAAAACUUACCAGGUCCAGACAUAAGAAGGAUUGACAGAUUGGGAGCUCUUUCUUGAUUUUACGGGUGGUGGUGCAUGGCCGUUCUUAGUUGGUGGAGUGAUUUGUCUGCUUAAUUGCGAUAACGAACGAGACCUUAACCUACUAAAUAGCUACGUGAAACCUAGUUUCAUGGCCAGCUUCUU
rnacentral:rRNA from 1 species